rnacentral:rRNA from 1 species
AUUGAACGCUGGCGGAAUGCUUUACACAUGCAAGUCGAACGGUAGAGGGGGCAACCCCUCGAGAGUGGCGAACGGGUGGGUAAUAUAUCGGAACGUGCCCAGUCGUGGGGGAUAACGUAGCGAAAGUUACGCUAAUACGGCAUACGAUCUAAGGAUGAAAGCGGGGGAUCGCAAGAACUCGAGCGAUUGGAGCGGCGGAUAUCAGAGUAGGUAGUUGGGGGGGUAAAGGCUCACCAACCCAAAGAUCUGUAGAUGGUCUGAGAGGACGACCAGCCACACUGGAACUGAGACACGGUCCAGACUCCUACGGGAGGCAGCAGUGGGGAAUUUUGGACAAUGGACGCAAGUCUGAUCCAGCCAUUCCGCGUGCAGGAUGAAGGCCCUCGGGUUGUAAACUGCUUUUGUACGGAACGAAAAGGUCUCUCUUAAUACGGGGGGCUCAUGACGGUACCGUAAGAAUAAGCACCGGCUAACUACGUGCCAGCCGCCGCAGUAA